UGGCGCACAAUGCCAUCCGCAAUGACCCGAGGAUCAACUGGCUCUGCAACCCGGUCCACAAGCACAGAGAGCUGCGCGGUCUCACCUCUGCCGGAAAGAAGUACAGAGGACUUCGCGGAAAGGGUUCCAGGUACCACAAGAACAAGCCCUCCCGCCGUGGAACAUGGAAGAGGAACAACACCCUCUCCCUCCGCAGAUACCGUUAGAUUUCUGCUGGUUAAGGUCUUUUGCUGUGUUUCUUGAAACAAUAUUCCAGAUCUUUGUUCUUGGUUAGAAGAACAUAUUUUGUGUUUGCUGUUGUUUUGCCUUGAUAAAUUUUGGAUACUCGACUUUCGCUGGGAGUUAUUCUUCUUCGAAAGUGUCGUUGUUAGUUAUUGCUGUUUUGCAGAACUUGAUAUGUUAUUGGCUUGCAUAAUGUCAUGUAAUUCUAGCAUCUGAUUGAGGCGUAGAGUUUACCGUGUGGCUCACUCUAUCGCUCGAUAAACCGUUCGUUAUCUGCUAAACUACUGGAGAUCAAUGAAUUUUCAUUGGCAUCGAAUUUGUGAC
rnacentral:lncRNA from 1 species